GGGCUGGAGGACACAUGUCUGUAUUUAUUUCUGUCCUUCCUGUGUCUUCUGGCUUUACAGCUGUUCUUUGUAGUCUCAUUUAGUAUGUGAAAAGUCAAGAAAUUCUUAGAUUAAAUCAGAAUGCUGACUCACUUUGUAGCUAGCAGUAAAGUGACUUCAAAUUAUAUAAGCAGGAAACUAGGUUCUUGAGCUGUUUACUUCUCUAGCGUGACAUCUCUGAUACUGUUUCCAGUCAAUAUUGACAUGGCACCCUUGCAGGCAAUGUCUUGAAAAUUGUCUUCUGAUGACCUCAGAAUUCUACCAGUUCUGAGAGUAGAAUUCCCUAGUGAGUGUGUUCUGUGCAAUGUAAACAGUGCAUUUCCAUAAUCACUUGAUUGCAAAUCAUGUUUACUUGCAAUCAGAUGCAUAGCUGUACUUUUUUUCUCUAGAUCUGUCUCUACCAGGGUCCAUACAAGGUUGGGAAUGUAGCUCGGUGGUGAACUCUUACUAUGCACAUGGCCCCAAGAUACCUGAUUCCUAGCACUGUCAAGACUAAAGGUUCCAGAUGGUGCCUGGUGCUGUAGUUAGCAGUGGCCUCUGCUGUGGCGGUCAGUGGUCCAGUCCAGCAUAAUGAACAGGAAAGGAUGGUUUUUGCUGACUGCUGUCAUGUUGGGAGGCAAGCAUCUUAUUGACUGACAUUGGUGUGUGUGGAGCUUGAAAACCUCAGUGGGAGGAUCUUUCUGUACUCCUGCUCAUCAGUAUCUCUUCCUGUUAUUAACAAGGCGACUUCUUGUUUAACCUCAGCUUUUUUUAAAUGCUUUUUUGCCUAUUAGGAAAAAAAAAUCAUAUUUAGUAGAGGAAAAUUGGCCAAAAUAAAGAUGUAAAAAUGGUUUAAAAAUGUAAUUCUGCCACCUAAAUACUAUAUGUUUUGGUAUAGUUCAUAUAUAGGUUUUUUUUUUUUAAUGUAUUCAUUGGCUUUUGUUUGUCUUUAAAUGACACUGGGAUAAUUCUGAGCAUAGUGUCUGAUAUUAUGGUCAGCUACUAACAUCAGAUGUUUUUCAUGUUAUUAAAUACUCUUCUGUAACAUUUUAAUAGCUGUUGAUAUUUCCACUGAUAGAUAUACUGUAAUAUGCUUGGUGGUUGGUUUUUAGAAAGAUGGCAAACUUUUUUAUUAUGAACCUUUUAUUAUGAAAUGUGUCCCUCAUAGAACAUACAAUAAAAAUUAAGCUAAAAAGAUAUUUAAAAGCCAUACAGUUUUACUACUGAUAAUUAUGUCACCAUUUUUAUAGAUCUCUUUAUAGCUUUAUGUGUAUGUGUAUAUUUAUAAAAUUCAUUGUCAUUCAAGUUUUUUUCCUUUUAGUUAUUCUUUAUAUGUUCUUGUGUCAGUGGAGAAGAAAUGUAGUCUGGAAGUAAAUAUUAGCUUUAGUAUGCACACUUGAGUUUUUUGGUUGCUCAGAAACUAACUGUAAAUGAGUCUUGAAAGUGUCUGUUGGAUUUAAUCAACAAAAACAGUUGUCAUUUUCUGACUAAGGAGCUUAUUGUAGAAGUGAAGAAAAUCAUUAGGAACAGAGAAAGCUGAUGUAAGUAUUCUAGUUUUUUUCUUUCCAAUCCUUCUGUCCCCAUUCUUAAUAACAUUGAUAGUUACUG
rnacentral:lncRNA from 1 species